rnacentral:lncRNA from 1 species
CUCGCUGCUUCGGAAAAGGUAAUUUCUUUCCAUUUAGAUAGCUUUAUCUCUAUUGUUUCGUGUUCUGUUUUCUGUAUUAUGGCUGAAUCUCUUGCAAUUUCUGCUUAGUGCUUGUAAGUUUCAUUCUGAUUCUUGUAAUUUCUGUUUAGUGCUUGUAAGUUCCAUUCUGAUUCAUGUAAAGAGGAGGUCAUUUCUUUACUAUAUAAUCCUAAGUGAUAUCCAUACUAUGAUUAGUUGGAAAUUUUGCUCGUGAGUAUCUACUUUUCCGGACUGUUUAUAUCAAAUAGGAUCUUCUUACCCAUAAAGUUUAGGUUUAAAAUCUCCAUUGAUGUACUGUGUUUUCUUUGCUUAAAACUUGGUUGUAUCUUGAUGGUCAUUUCACUGUUUUAGUUGGAUACAAAUAUUUGUAUAAGUUAGCAUUUUUCAGUCUUAACCUCUCAUUUUUGCCUUAAGUCGUUACUGUAUGAUAGCUUAAAUAAUCAAUGUAGUGAUUAGUUUCUGUUUGCAUUUAAAGGUUAAAAAAAAUGAAAUGGUUUCUCAGUAGGCUACACAGCUUGAUUUUGUUCUAAUUAGUUUUAAGUUUAAAUGCAUUCUUUAUGUGCAUGGACCCCAUUUUUGCAUUUCGAAAUUGGCCACGGAGGCCUAAACUCCUUCUAAUCGAGUCAACCUCGCAAUUGGAAGCAUAUGAAGUUCGGAAAGGGUAGCUAUGUUGUAAGGGAAGCUGAAGCAGGUUAAAAUUGAGCUGCUACAGGUCUUGAAGGCAGAAAACCGAGUUAGUAUACAUCCGGUAUAUACUAGUAAUAUACUACAGAUGUAUACAAAAACGGGAAUUGAGCCAACAUGCCCAAAUCAGCAACAAGUUUGGCCAAAAGGGGGCCC